GACAGAGGAGGCGAGCGUUAUCCGGAGUUAUUGGGCGUAAAGGGUACGUAGGCGGCUGGUUAAGUCUGGGGUUAAAGACCACAGCUUAACUGUGGGGGGCCUUGGAAACUGACCGGCUGGAGUGGGGCAGGGGUUGCGGGAAUUCCCGGUGUAGCGGUGAAAUGCGUAGAUAUCGGGAAGAACACCUGAGGCGAAAGCGCGCAACUGGGCCCUAACUGACGCUGAGGUAAGAAAGCUAGGGGAGCGAAUGGG
rnacentral:rRNA from 1 species